AAAAUCUAAAUCUGCCUGUUAGAAAUGCCCACUACUGGGGUUGGGGAUUUAGCUCAGUGGUUAGAGCGCUUGCCUAGGAAGCGCAAGGCCCUGGGUUCGGUCCCCAGCUCCGGAAAAGAAAAAAAAAGAAAGAAAGAAAUGCCCACUACUGCAAGGGGACUGGCCGUAUGGUGUGUCACAGUGGGAUUCCUUUGGACAAGCAGGAAGCACAGCUUACCAUAAUUAUUUCUCGCAGUCUUCCUUCAUGAAGAGAAAAAUGAAAUAAAAAUUUCUCUUAAAAGUGCUUUAUCUCCUUUCUUGGUGGUAUUUUAAACAUUGUUCUCUUUUCUAUAUUUAUAAAAGGUGUGUGUGUGUGUGUAUGUGUGUGUGUGUGUGUGUGUGUGUGUGUGUGUGUUGGGGGUGGGAGACAAGACAGAACGACUUAUAUUCACUGAAGCUAAAGGAAUAAUUAUAGUUAAACUGGUAACAAGGCAGAAGGGUGAAUCAUAGGAAGGCAAGGUUCUGCAGUAAGUAUGACUUGGCUUAUGCAAUGAUGGGCUUAGCUUGUAAAAUUCUUAAAACCUAAUAUUUAUAAAAUGGCUUCAGUCCAAAAACCAAUAAAAAAAAAAAACUCGCUACUGCUUUGUAAUUUUUUCCAGUGACAUCUACACUUAUACAAAUGCUUGGACCUACUCACAGGCUAGAAACCAAUCACAAUAGGUAAAGAGUGUCUGACAGAUGAUCUCUUCGGUCAUUAGAAGUAGAUGAAGAAAGAGAACGUUGAGCAGUGUACAGAGGUAGAGAUAGUGUACUAAUAUACUACUGAGGGGUUGGGGACUUAGCUCCGUGGUAGAGCGCUUGCCUAGCAAGCGGAAGGCCCUGAGUUCGGUCCUCAGCUCAAAAAGAAAAAAAAAAAAAAAAAGAAUAUACUACUGAGUAGAGUGUCCAGAUUCAAUAAAAGCUACAUGGACACACAUAGGUAGCAAAGAAAUAUCAAGUGGCCAAUCAUUACAGGAGUUCGAAUUGAGGGACAUAGUGAGAAGUCGCCUUGGAAAUUAAAUUGCUUGGCAUGUUGACAUGGAAGGGAGUUUCUACAAUACCUUGAUGGAGCCCAUUUUCUGGGAACUGAAGGGAGUUUUGAUAGACAGUUUAAAAGUGUUCAAGAUAAGCUAUCCCCUCUUUGGAUUACAAAUGACAGGUAAAGCAACAGAAGUCAAUGUCCUGUGGUUUCUUAAAUUUAAAGGCAACAUAAUCUGGAACAGAACAUUCUAUAGGAGUACACUUGAAUUUGACAUCACACAAGUCACUACUACAAACCUAAAAACAAUAUCACGCAGAAGCCUGGAGCCAGGGGCUCAAUGAAAAUGCACCUGGAAGCGCGGUAUGAACCAACCAGACAGCAGCACAAAAGCUCGCUCACUGCCCAGCACAGAAUUGAACUCCAGAUCCUUCACUUGUACUCACCUUCCUGAGCGUUGAUUCCCCGGCCCUUCUCCAGCAUUCCUCCCCGAACGAACGCAGGCUUCCUGAGAAGGAGAUGAGUGCGUGAGAAGCAAAAGCGCGGAUGGCUAAGAUCGUCCCGCUGGCUCACUGGCCGCUGGUCCUCCAGUCCUGUGUCCAAAGUUAUUACUUGCAGGUGAAACUCGAAGCCGAGGGACCCGGAUUCCCUCAGGCGCGGGAAGCAGCCUCGUCCAUCCUCUCCUCAGCACAGCCCCUCUCUUGCAAAGACACAGGUCUGAGGGCCCACAGCUUAAGUACCCACUCAACGCUUUCGCGUGCCAGCCGCAACUCCUACUCCUUACCCUCACUGCGCCUGCGCAAGCAACGCACAGGCGCACAAACAAGGGGCGUGAGCCGCGGGUAGCCAGCGCCCUCCUCGCCCCGCUCACCUGGCUGACCUCUGUUUCUCAGUCCUCAGCUCCAGCUGCACCACUAAUUCCCCUAUCCAAGCAUAUUUUUAAGGGUAGAAAUGCAGGAUCCAACUGGCUUCACCUUCACUUCCGGAAGAAACUAAAACAAAGAGUGCUGUGGAAAAGAGAUUCGGAAAUGCUCGUGGAGCGAGUUUGAUGGAGUCUCCAUGUCGAAGCGCACCUGUGAACUCAAACCACUCUCCAAGGCUCCUUUUGAGAUUCUUUUCCAUAGAUAGGAAAGGUGGCAUGCCAUACACAACUUGUGACAAAGCAAUUGUCCCAUCCAUGCACAGCUCCAAGAACUGCUUGAUCAAAACAUACACUGUCAUCUGAGCAUACGAUGCCACCAUUGGAAUCUAGUCUAUAAGCUCUUUCCCAGGAGACUUAAAUUUGGUUGCUAGAAAACCAAAGAGCAAGGAUCCUACCCAAGACUGGGAGGUGAACCAAUCAACUGAGGCACUUGGAACAAAGGAACCGGGCCUGGGUGAACACAAGCAGGGAGCCGAGAUGAAGCCAUAUGUUUUACUCACAUGUCCAGUUUGAAGCACAGAGAAGUGGUCCCCUACGCAUCCAGCUUUGAGGAGCUACAAGCGUUGGGGGGUUCCCAGCCAGACCUUCACAGUCCAGGCGGCAGAAGUUCUCUGAAUGACUCUGGUAGUCAUUGCACCAGUAACGGCUAUUGAUCUGGAAGAUUCCAUAGUCAAAGAAUCCUGGCCAAGGUACAGCGAUUGAUGAUGCUGCCAUCAUUCACGACCAGAAGGCAGCUCACCACACAGAUAAACAGCACCCUCAUCAUCAUCCAAGGAGACGGGGUACCAGCCGGUCUCUGAGAGCCUGGGGAAUCUGAGCGAGAAAUCAAAUUUCCCUAAUGGGGUCAGAGAGUGCUUGGUAAGGAAGAGGAGGCUCCUGCCAAGAACCACCUUGUUCUGUAGAUCCUCCCAGAAGGCCCCCCAGGCUGGCUGGGAGCUAGGGCCAGAGAGGUACACUUUGAAGCUGGAUAGGGCCACCUGCUGGGACCACUGUUGCCCACAAGGGAAUCCCUGUGAGGCUCAAUGGCCAAGCCAGACCUUCCUGCAUCCCAAGGCUCUGAGAAGCUUAUCUCUGAGGGACAUUCUGAAUCACAAUAAAAAGGCCUGCAAGACACACCUGUGAAAUAAAGAGCUAUUUGCUACUGACCUGAAAGUCUAACUCAACAGGGCUUCAUCCAUUCUAUUUGCAACACCAGAGCGGGUCAGUUCUCCUUCCUCUCAAGAAGGCAUGUGUUCUUGGCACCCCCAGCCUUCUGGAACCCUGGUUCUGUGACGUCAUCACCCUCCAGGAAAGAUGGUGGUUUGAACUGUGCAAGCUGUCCAAGCUUCAGACCGUAAGAUCUCCUUGCAACUGUUUGGUUCUGUCAUCACGGCACAAAAUCAGCCGCAGAUAAGGCAUCCGAGAGUGAGUCUGUCCCUGCUGCUGUAAAAUCUCGCAAAAACAGGUUGUGGCUAAACUUGGCCCAUCAGCUAAUGACUGAUCCUUCUUAUAAACAAUAAUGUACAGUGUGUCUCCUUUGAAACAAA